CUGUAAGACUGGGAUAACUGCCGGAAACGGUAGCUAAUACCGGAUAAAUCAUUUCGCCGCAUGGCGGGAUGCUGAAAGACGGAGCAAUCUGUCACUUACAGAUGGGCCUACGGCGCAUUAGCUAGUUGGUGGGGUAAAGGCCUACCAAGGCGACGAUGCGUAGCCGGCCUGAGAGGGUGAACGGCCACACUGGGACUGAGACACGGCCCAGACUCCUACGGGAGGCAGCAGUAGGGAAUCUUCCGCAAUGGACGAAAGUCUGACGGAGCAACGCCGCGUGAGUGAUGAAGGUUUUCGGAUCGUAAAGCUCUGUUGCCAGGGAAGAACGUCUUGGAGAGUAACUGCUCUGAGAGUGACGGUACCUGAGAAGAAAGCCCCGGCUAACUACGUGCCAGCAGCCGCGGUAAUACGUAGGGGGCAAGCGUUGUCCGGAAUUAUUGGGCGUAAAGCGCGCGCAGGCGGUCAUUUAAGUCUGGUGUAUAAACUCGGGGCUCAACUCCGUAGUCGCACUGGAAACUGGGUGACUUGAGUGCAGAAGAGGAGAGUGGAAUUCCACGUGUWAGCGGUGAAAUGCGUUAGAGAUGUGGAGGAACACCAGUGGCCGAAGGCGACUCUCUGGGCUGUAACUGACGCUGAGGCGCGAAAGCGUGGGUAGCAAACAGGAUUAGAUACCCUGGUAGUCCACGCCGUAAACGAUGA
rnacentral:rRNA from 1 species